rnacentral:rRNA from 1 species
AGCGAACGCUGGCGGCAGGCCUAACACAUGCAAGUCGAACGAAGUCUUCGGACUUAGUGGCGGACGGGUGAGUAACACGUGGGAACGUGCCUUUAGGUUCGGAAUAACUCAGGGAAACUUGUGCUAAUACCGAAUGUGCCCUUCGGGGGAAAGAUUUAUCGCCUUUAGAGCGGCCCGCGUCUGAUUAGCUAGUUGGUGAGGUAAAGGCUCACCAAGGCGACGAUCAGUAGCUGGUCUGAGAGGAUGAUCAGCCACAUUGGGACUGAGACACGGCCCAAACUCCUACGGGAGGCAGCAGUGGGGAAACUUGCGCAAUGGGCGAAAGACUGACGCAGCCAUGCCGCGUGAAUGAUGAAGGUCUUAGGAUUGUAAAAUUCUUUCACCGGGGACGAUAAUGACGGUACCCGGAGAAGAAGCCCCGGCUAACUUCGUGCCAGCCGCCGCAGUAAAAC